rnacentral:rRNA from 1 species
UACGAAGGGGGCUAGCGUUGCUCGGAAUCACUGGGCGUAAAGGGUGCGUAGGCGGGUCUUUAAGUCAGGGGUGAAAUCCUGGAGCUCAACUCCAGAACUGCCUUUGAUACUGAGGAUCUUGAGUUCGGGAGAGGUGAGUGGAACUGCGAGUGUAGAGGUGAAAUUCGUAGAUAUUCGCAAGAACACCAGUGGCGAAGGCGGCUCACUGGCCCGACACUGACGCUGAGGCACGAAGGCGUGGGGAGCAAACAGG